ensembl:snRNA U6 U6 spliceosomal RNA
GUGCUCGCUUUGGCUGCACACGUACUAAAAUGGGAACUAUACGGAGAUUAGCAAGGCCCUGCGUGAGGAUGGCAUGCAAAUUUGUGCAGCGUUUCAUUUUUUU